CUAAAAAUAGUAUAACUUAUUUAUUACAUAGAUUUUGGAGAUCUAAAAUGAAAAAAUCUUUUUAGA
rnacentral:tRNA from 1 species